AAUAAGUGCAGUUUUGCACUAUUCACGUUCAACGUUUGACCGUCCGUCUUAUUUGAAAAAUUUGUGAAAAAAUUAAAAACAUUUAGUCACAUAUAAAGUACUAUUCAUGUUUUAUCAUCUAAUAGCAAUAAAAAUAUUAAUCAUAAAAUAUUUUCAAAUAAGACGGACGGUCAAACGUUGAACAUGAAUAGUGCAAAACUGUACUUAUU
rnacentral:pre_miRNA from 1 species